AUACCUAUCUUGGUCUUUUGGCUAAGAUUAAGUGUAAUAUUUGUUCCUAUCAGUUUAGUAUUUGAUAUGUGAGCCAUUGGUCCACAAUAAUAUUAAAUUAAUUUUUUAUGAGGAGAGGGUUCAUUUUAGUAGCUUGCAAUUGGAAUCCUUGUGUGUCGUUCUUGCAUUGCACAAAAUGUAUUAUUGCAAGAUUCAUGCGCACCUG